rnacentral:rRNA from 1 species
AUAUUGCACAAUGGGCGCAAGCCUGAUGCAGCAACGCCGCGUGAGGGAUGACGGCCUUCGGGUUGUAAACCUCUUUUAGUAGGGAAGAAGGCUUCGGUUGACGGUACCUGCAGAAAAAGCACCGGCUACCUACGUGCCAGCAGCCGCGGUAAUACGUAGGGUGCAAGCGUUGUCCGGAAUUAUUGGGCGUAAAGAGCUCGUAGGCGGCUUGUCGCGUCUGCCGUGAAAACCUCAGGCUCAACCUGGGGCGUGCGGUGGGUACGGGCAGGCUAGAGUGCGGUAGGGGAGAUUGGAAUUCCUGGUGUAGCGGUGGAAUGCGCAGAUAUCAGGAGGAACACCGAUGGCGAAGGCAGAUCUCUGGGCCGUAACUGACGCUGAGGAGCGAAAGCAUGGGGAGCGAACAGG